rnacentral:rRNA from 1 species
CAUGCAAGUCGAACGGCAGCAUAGAGAGCUUGCUCUCUGAUGGCGAGUGGCGAACGGGUGAGUAAUAUAUCGGAACGUGCCCAGUAAUGGGGAAUAACUAGCCGAAAGGUUAGCUAAUACCGCAUACGACCUACGGGUGAAAGCAGGGGAUCUUAGGACCUUGCGUUAUUGGAGCGGCCGAUAUCUGAUUAGCUUGUUGGUGGGGUAAAAGCCUACCAAGGCAACGAUCAGUAGCUGGUCUGAGAGGACGAUCAGCCACACUGGAACUGAGACACGGUCCAGACUCCUACGGGAGGCAGCAGUGGGGAAUUUUGAACAAUGGGGGAAACCCUGAUCCAGCCAUCCCGCGUGAGUGAAGAAGGCCUUCGGGUUGUAAAGCUCUUUCGAAAGUGAAGAAAACUUAUUUCAUAAUAUGUUAUGAGUAUGACGGUAACUUUAGAAGAAGCACCGGCUAACUACGUGCCAGCAGCCGCGGUAAUACGUAGGGUGCGAGCGUUAAUCGGAAUUACUGGGCGUAAAGCGUGCGCAGGCGGUUUUGUAAGUCAGAUGUGAAAUCCCCGAGCUUAACUUGGGAACUGCGUUUGAACUACCAGACUAAGU